UUAAUAAUUGAGACAUGCAGGAAAGUAUACACAAGUACUCUGCUGUUUAGUCUAUAGAAUAAUGGGCACAUGUCCUAUUUGCAAAAGUAAAUCUAUAAAUCAAAAGCACUCAAUACAUCAAGACAAGCCCUGAAGCCAUAUAUUGUUUAUUUCUCUGUAUACCUUAUCUCUUUGAAGCAUGACUGCAAAGUAAAGAUACCAUGGUUCUGACAAAAGCGUUCCGCUGUAACUUCUCAGAUAGCAUGAGCUAGAAACCAGCCCAUCCAGCAGGUUGAGUAGCUGGCCGACUCCCCACGGUCUUCUCCCCACCAAAGUGCUGAGAACUAUUUCCUUCAUUACUGGGUCCUGAAAUCUGAGUGCUGGCAGCAACAGAAGCUGUAAAACUAUCCGCUCCAAAACCCCAUGACUCAAAUUCAGAAGAUGCCUGAGAAACCUGAAUUUUCUGGUUUGCAUUUCGUGUCCUAACAGAUUGAGGACUGUUGGCCUUUGAAAGAGGCUGCUGAUGUGACUUGGGAUCCUUUGCAAAUGCUUGCCAUGGCUUGGGCUCUGAAUUUGGGGUACUCCAGUCAGAUUCUCCUCGCUUGGGAGUUGUUGAUGAUUGAACUUUAGGGGAAGCAUGAUGCUUAUUUGGUGAUGGAGUUCUAGUAGCCAUUGCUUGCUUGAGCUCCUGUAUCUCUUGCCUCUGAGAUCGNAAGAUAGCUUUUCAUACUUUGAAGUCAUUUCCACCUUCUCGAAAUUUGCUUGCUUCAGUUGCU
rnacentral:misc_RNA from 1 species